CGGGGAAACGUCAGGCAGCAAGACCCCGUCUUGCUGUUGUUUUCACUGAUUUUAGGGUCGACAGAAAACCCCCUCUACAACAAAUGGGAAGCUGACAGAGGAGGAGGAAACACAGUUAAGAAGUCUUUCGCAUCCAAAUAUCCUUCCAUGCUGAUGGCCUCCUGCAUCCCAGCAGAGCUGAGUGACCUCCUGUCAAAGGCCAUGAACCAGAUGAACCUCAAUCAUUCAGCACACUACUGUUGAAAAGUUGUGGGUCUGUAAGAUUUUUACAUGUUUUUGAAAGAAGUCUCACAUUUUAAAAUCAUUAACCCCGGGUUGUUUUAGUGAGAUUGUCCUUGAAAGGCCUGUAGGCUAAAUAAUCAUCUAAAUGAGGUAACAUAGGUGACAAGUAUAAUGUUAUAAUGCUUGUAGUUAUAAUCAUUUAUUUAACUAUUAUAAUAACAGGAUAUCAUGGUCAUUAAUCUAUUUUAUUGUAUUUCUCUAUGUCUGUUUGUAGUUAUGUUUGCCAGUGAACAGAUACCAUACUGUUCCACUAAAAGAUGAGAUGUAAUCUCUAGCGUUUGGUGCUGAGAUUCUUCAGGACAACGCCUUGAUGCCAUUCACACUCAGUACAUGAAGAAGAUUCACCAAACAUCUGGCUGAUUACUGGCAAUUUGCAGUAAUGACAGUGGACAAGUGAAGAGAGUGGAGGGGAGGGCAUCAGAAAGGACCUUGAGCUGCUGCGACUGUCUUGGAUAACCCAAAGCACAACUACACUGUGUGUCCAAGUACUAAACAAGGCUUUUCUCCUUACAUAUUAUAUGUAUUUAAUUUAAGGCAGGGUUUUUUUUUUUCCUGCAUAGUGAAUUACUAGGUGGCUCCCUGUCAAAUUUGAUGCUGUCUCCAGCUAUUAACAAAACUCAGACAGGCAGUCACAUGGUCCGAUUCCCCUUUUCCACCAACACGGUUCUGUUGCAGGAUCCUAGCCUGUGUCCAUUCUCAAACUGUUCCACGAACCUCCACUGCACAAAAGGCAGUUCCAGGACAGAAAUAUCGGUACCCUCACUCUUCACCAGUCAUCACAUUCACAACCACCACAGUCAACGAAGUCAAGGUCCCUGGUCCACAGCAUCAACCAUCUUUGUAGGAAGAUGAUUACUGCAUUUCUUUAAAAUUGACAGAUUUCUUAUGGAGUGCAAUCCCUCUCUAGAUGGACUGAGGCCUAUCGGUCUUACAAAAUACUGUCAGACACUGCAUAUGAUGUUCUCAAAAUAAUAAAUUAAUUAAUAAAAUACUUAAGAAUU